UUGGUCUUUGUUAUUGCCAUUGUUUACAGAACGGCAAGUGUUGGUACCUCGGAGUUGAUGAUUGUAGACAAAAUGUUGGUACAACAGUCAUUGUUCGUGAUGUAUUUUACAACCAGCCAGUUAGAAGGAAGCAAAUGCUCUCCAAAACGUCUUGCAUUCUCUGAAAGAGUCUCUUCUCUUGCACAUCCUCUCCUUCAAAUUAUUGAGAUUGAAAGUGAGAAUGACCUGUGUUGCAGACGUGCUUCUCUUUCUCCAUGUCUACUAUUGUCCAGU